rnacentral:misc_RNA from 1 species
UAAUAAGUGUUUUAUGGCACUUUUUUAAAUCCAUAUCCACCUUGUGUGCAAUGUCAGUCGAUCUUCUUCAUGGAGAUCGACCAAACAUCAACCUUUAUUUUUAACUCUUUGUCUGAAAAAUAUUAUAUAAACAAUUCAAAAUA